GACGAACGCUGGCGGCGUGCUUAACACAUGCAAGUCGAACGGUGAAGCUCCAGCUUGCUGGAGUGGAUCAGUGGCGAACGGGUGAGUAACACGUGAGCAACCUGCCCCUGACUCUGGAAUAAGCCCUGGAAACUGCGUCUAAUACUGGAUACGAGAAGGGUCCGCAUGGGCACUUUCUGGAAAGUUUUUCGGUUGGGGAUGGGCUCGCGGCCUAUCAGCUUGUUGGUGAGGUAAUGGCUCACCAAGGCGACGACGGGUAGCCGGCCUGAGAGGGCGACCGGCCACACUGGGACUGAGACACGGCACAGACUCCUACGGGAGGCAGCAGUGGGGAAUAUUGCACAAUGGGCGAAAGCCUGAUGCAGCGACGCCGCGUGAGGGAUGACGGCCUUCGGGUUGUAAACCUCUUUCAGCAGGGAAGAAGCGAAAGUGACGGUACCUGCAGAAGAAGCACCGGCUAACUACGUG
rnacentral:rRNA from 1 species